ACAGAGAAAUGAAAAUGCUUCUUCAAGUUCUAUAGCCACUGAAGUGUUGAACCAGAGUAUAUGAGAAUAUUCACAAGUUUCAGGCACUCAGUUGUAAACAUCUUUGAUGGACCACAUUCUGCGCACCAUAGAUGAGAACAAGUUUUUUAGUAAAAUAAUUACCAGAGACACUAAGUGGAGAACAGCAUUUCUAAAUGCCUGUUUAAAAGAAGAAAAAGAAGAAAGAAAGAAAA